rnacentral:rRNA from 1 species
UACAGAGGGGACUAGCGUUGUUCGGAAUUACUGGGCGUAAAGCGCGCGUAGGCGGCUUUGUAAGUUAGAGGUGAAAGCCCGGAGCUCAACUCCGGAACUGCCUUUAAGACUGCAUCGCUUGAACGUCGGAGAGGUAAGUGGAAUUCCGAGUGUAGAGGUGAAAUUCGUAGAUAUUCGGAAGAACACCAGUGGCGAAGGCGACUUACUGGACGACUGUUGACGCUGAGGUGCGAAAGCGUGGGGAGCAAACAGG